CAGCAGCCGCGGUAAUACGUAGGGUGCGAGCGUUAAUCGGAAUUACUGGGCGUAAAGCGUGCGCAGGCGGUUAUAUAAGACAGAUGUGAAAUCUCCGGGCUCAACCUGGGACCUGCAUUUGUGACUGUAUAGCUAGAGUACGGUAGAGGGGGAUGGAAUUCCGCGUGUAGCAGUGAAAUGCGUAGAUAUGCGGAGGAACACUGAUGGCGAAGGCAAUCCCCUGGACCGGUACUGACGCUCAUGCACGAAAGCGUGGGGAGCAAACAGGAUUAGAUACCCCUGUAGUCCCUGUCUCUUAUAC
rnacentral:rRNA from 1 species